AUUUGUUCCCUCCUUUCUUUCGCGCUCAUUGUCUCAUAAUUUUUCAGAUAUCUUCACAAUUUUCAUCCUCUCUACCAAUAUACCAGUACCUAAGAAAUAUUCACCAUUUUCAUCUAACCCUAAAAGUCACUGGUGAGAAGAAUCAAGAAUCCUAACUCGAACGCGCCAAAUCUGAUGAGAAGAAUGGAUCAAGUGCCACAUAAUUUUGAUAUGGAUCUCAAUUUCAAUCUUCGUCCUCAAUCAACCACACCAAACCCUCUCUUUCUCUCUCUUUUCAUUUCUUCUUCGAUUUCCCUUCGAUUCCGUAACUAUAAAUCCAAUCGAUCGAUCUCUCUGUUCCUUUCUUUACAAAUUUCUACGGAUUUUGAAUCUAAUAGAUCGAUCUGGUAUGAUCUCAUAUGAAGGUUUGUGAGAAUCAUGGCAGAAGAACACUGAUACAAGGCCCAACGAUUUUGCAUCGACAAUUGCGGUUUCUUCAACAACACUACCACAGAAGCUUCAAGUGCUACCGCAAUCUGAAGGUUAAGGAGCAACAGGCUUCCACGACAAAUCUAGCUCAAUUGCAGUGGAAGAUUAGACUUUUUUAUGAUGGUAACAUCUUCAUCACAAUAGGAUAACAAUGAGGAUUUUUCUUCUUUAAACAUGGACACUGCAGAUGCAACUGCUGUUGAAACAAUGAUUCUAAAGCUCACUGAAAAGGUAUGUUAUAACUGCUAAUUAAAGAUGAAAACAGUGGCAACUUGUCAGUGCAUAGUUAUCACGAUGUAUAUUGAUUUUUAAUAUAUUAUUUGUGCUGGUCAUCUGAACAAUUGAGUUUAGUGGUAGAUUCAAAGUUUUGGUCAUAAUCUGUCAUAGAAAGCCCAACAUAGAUAGUAAAAGAUUUACAAUUUUGUAUAACAAUCCUAUAAUCUUAAAGUUGAUAAGCAAUUGAGCAUGGUAUAGAUAGGUUAGGACUAUUGAUUUGAAAACUAAAAGGUAAAGAAAAGAAGUUUGCAAUCUGGGACAUUCUAUAUAUAUAUUUAAUUGUUAUAAUUGGGGAUAUCCCUCUCUGCCAAUUUCUCUGCAAAUUUUAGAUGUGUGUGCUUUUGUGUUUGUAGCAUUGGCCUAAUGCUGAAUUAUCAUCCUUUUUGCACCUAUAAUUUCUUAUUAUUUUCUUUUGGGGUUUUAGUAUUUGAAGGUCUUCUUCAGUAGUGAUUGUUCCAACUCAACCAUGUGGUUGUUAUUGUGACUGUGAAUGAUAUUGUAGCUUACUUUGUGAAAUAAAUCUUACUUGGAGGAAUUUACUCUACUAGUCAAUGUCUGGAGUAAAAGAGAUUUGAGUGCUGGUUUUUGUAUUUCUUCUUUCAUGAAUACUCAUAUCUCUAUCACCUCACGCUAUGGUAUCUGAUCUAAAUUGAGGGAGUGAACAUAAGAAAUAGGUACCCUGGUAUGCUGGCAACCAAAUGGAUAUAUCCAAGGCUAUGGUGAAGAAUAAUGGAGCAAGAUUACAAGGCCCCAGGUAAAAGUGGUAUUUUUUCGUGCAAAAUUCAACUCUAAUGUUCCUCCCAGAUCAAUUAUAAUAAUUGAGCAGCAUUAUUGUUGUUCAUUAUAUUUUUCUAAAAUGGCAUUGUGACGAGUUUUGAUGUGUCACACUGAGCAUGGAUAAGAGUAUUUGUUUAUAAACCCACGUCUGUUGAUGUUUCUCAAAAUUGUUUAUCCUUUCUCUUUUCUACCACAUCUAUCCAUUUUCAUGUAACAUUCUUCGAACUCCUUGUUGAACUUUUGUGCAUUUAGUCAGUGGAUGGGGUGCAUUUUUUGAUCUGCAAAUGAGUUCAUGACAUUCAUGAUUCAUAUUAAUAAUUCAUUCAUCAUAGACUUUCCGUGCAGUGUUCCACUAUGUUUUCUUAUGAGGUUCUUAUGCUCAAGAGUUAUAUGAUGUUUGUAGUGCAUACGAGAUAAUAAUAGGGGCUAACUUAGUAUUGCAUUAUUCAUUCAUGUUUGCAGUCCUUAUGCUCAGUGGUCAAUAGGGGCUAACUUAGUAUUGCAGGCUUGUUUGUGUUGUGUAUACGAGAUAAUAAUAUUGGCAUAAACAUGCCAACUUUCUAAUCAAAGUACAUCAGAAGAGAAAAAGAAAUUGUGAUUCUUAAGGGAAUGAACUGAAAUAUGUUGAAUUCCGGGAUGGUAAAUCAUAUCUAAUACUUGGUAGUGUUGUAUUCUUUUGGAAUGAAAUAAAUUACAAACAUGCAUAUAUACACUGUUUCAAUCUAUAUCUAGUGUUUCAAAUUUUCAAAAGACUCAAACAUACAGAGAUCUUUGAAAUGUAAUUUUAGAGCGGGACUUCGAUAGUCGAGAUGUGCUACACCAUGAGGUGUGAGACGUUCUCGUACUAAGGAAGCAACUUUUUAAUUCUCAUAACCAUAAUAAGAAAAUGAAAAUCGACCUAUUCCCUCCCAUAUGGAUUUGCACUGCCUCAUUCCCCUCCUUUUUCCUUUUCUGAUCUUUAGUAUUGAUGAAUUUAUUCCGCUCCUAAGGGAGCGCAUGAAUGUAUUGAAUCCAUAUGCCAGUUUUUUAGUGGGAUGGAUUACGGUAUUAGACAGUGUCCCAGAUAUCGAUAUGUUGGGCUUUCUUCCUAAUUUUCUUGAUGGUAAGUGCAUGGUAUGAGAAGGGUCCUUUUCUUUCUUGACUUUUUAUACAACUGAAUUUCAACCACCUAAUCAUACAUAAAUAUGUCAAGCUUGUCUAAUAUGUUGAGUGAUUCAAGUCAUGAAAUACGUCAACAAGUAGAUUCAGCUCUUUCAGAGUUCCUUCAAGAGAUUAAGAACUCCUUAGUAAGUCUCAUGCUAAUGCUUUUUACCUUUUUGGUAGACUUGUAAGGAUUCUGGCACUUUCAGAGUCCAAUUCUUUUAUGCCAUUAUCCCCCUUUUUUUGUUCAUUUGUUAUUUUCUAACUCGAGCAGUGCUACUCUUGAAGUCUGUAGAUUAUGGUCGAAUGGCUGAAAUUCUGGUACAGAGGGCAGGCUCUCCAGAUGAAUUUACUAGGCUAACAACUAUGGCAUGGAUAAAUCAGUUUGUCAAACUUGGCUGGAGACCAGCUUUUUCCAUAUUAUGCUAACAUUGUUGGAGCCAUUUUGCCUCUUCUGAAUGACAUGAUUUUAACAAUACAUCUUCAUUUCACUUUGAUGAAGGCGUUUCAUUGUGAUACUCCAAAAACCCUUUGGUGGAGUCCUACUGAGAAGAAUCAAAGUAAGGUCUUCCUUUCUUUGAACAACAUUCUUAAAGGCAACAAACCUAAAUGAAAUUGAAUGUUUUUAAUAUGGAAGAAGUAAUUUAUAUUCCUCCUUUAAGUGUUGUUCAAUCCGCUACAUAAUAUAGAUUCACUUCCUUAUUUCUACUAAUGACAAUUAUAAGUUUUAAAUAUUGCUUGCAUUAGUAAAACCAUUGAAUAAAUGUAAUACAAAGGGGUUAUGAUGGCUUUAGUGACAAUCAAUUUUUGCUACUUGGAAUCCAACAAGAGUAAUAGUUAUGUGGCUUCAAUUGUUGGAAUUCUUUUGCGGCGUUUAGAACCGCUGCUAAAAUUGGGAUGAAUUUUUCAUUGAUCCGCGGCGGUUGCAACCGACGUUGAAAUUUAUUUAAUCUUUUGCGGCGAUUGAUGAAAACCGACGUUAGGUGGCCUCGCGGCGCAAAAAACGCUGGCGGUUGCAUAGCCGAUGGGAAAAAUCUUCGCGGCGGUUUAAACUGCCGCUAUUUAUAACUUCAACCGCAGCUAAAUGUCUAGUUUUGGUGUAGUGCCACUGAAUCCCUGACAAUUGUUACAUGGAUUGACACUAUAGACAAUACAUACACACACACACACACACACACACACACACACGCACGAGCGCGCACACACAUGUGGAAAUGAAUUUAUAGUUUUAAUAUAACUCGAUACUUCUAUUAGAGUGUUAAUUUCUUUUGUUAAAACUUCUUUUAGUUCUUUCAAUACUUAAAAUAAAUCAAAACCCUUUGAUGUAUAUUGCCCUAAGGAUGGGUUGAAAUUGUAGGAUUUUUUAUUUGUUGGUGAGGUUAAGGGUUUAUUAUUAUAGUGUGGCAAUUAUACAUGAAUCAACUCUACUUUCUAUCUAUGUUAUACAUUCAGAUUUGUAUUGGGUUAAAGUAUCCUUAUACUUCCAAUUCAUAAAUUUUGGUUUAUGAAAAAUAUUCAAGUUGAAGAUAAUAAUUUUAUGACAUAACUUUUCAUUGUUUCAUUACCUCUCUCUUAAAUCUCGGUAAUAUAUAGUAUGUACUAUAUACGUACUAAUUUUUGGGGGCCUAAGAUUAUUGCCUAAUUAGCCUUGCAUUGUCCACGGCCCUGAAUUGUGGGUUACAAUGUGAGCGAUGAUGGAAUAAUGUAUUGGCUCAUAAAAAAUUCAUGGCGUCCAAAAUGGGGUGAGGACGGCUACAUGAGACUUCGCAGGAAUGUCAAGUUCAUAGAAAGGAAUGUGUGGUAUAGCUAUGAGAGCAUCAAACCUCUUGAGCAGAUAAUGGCAAGCAAAACUAAAAUUAUGUGAGCAGUGGUUGUCAUAUUGCUACUGCCUGUAAGGGCAUUUUUUUAUUCCAAGAUGUCUCCAUCGAGAUGAGGCAUGAGAGGUGGUGUGCUCAAUACGGUAGAGUCUACAAGGAUGAGCAAGAAAGACUUAGAAGGCUUGAUAUCUCCAAGAAGAAUGUGGAUUACAUAGAAACCUCCAACAAAGCAGGAAAAUCGUAUAGACUUGGCUUGAAAGAGUUUUUUUAUCUCACAAAUGACAAGAACAUAGCUCAAAGAAAUGGACUGAAGGUCUCCAAAGUCAUGAGGUCAACCUCAUUCAGAUAUGAAAAUGUCAGAGUGUCUUGCUGGGUGGACCGGAGGGAGGAAUGAGUUGCCAUACCAGUGAAGAGCCAAAGUUGUAUUUGGAUUGGAUUGCUUCCUGUGGUUUGGAUUGUAGGAUACAUCACUUUUAGACCAAGUUGUUUUAUAUUUUUCAAUUACUCAUUUAAUUUACAUUUGUAGGAACUUGUUGGGCUUAUUCUGCUGUUGGUUCAAUAGAAGGAUUUCACAAACUCGGAACAGGAAGUUUGGUUUACUUAUCAGAACAACAACAAAUCGAUUGUAACAUAAAUGAUUUCGAUGAAGGUUAGUAUCAAACAUGAGAGAUCAAGAGAAUGAAAUUCACUUCUCCAAUGCAAUCUCAAGAUUCUUUCUUAUAGCUUAAUAAAGUCCUUAUC